AACGAACGCUGGCGGCGUGCCUAACACAUGCAAGUCGAACGAGAAAAUCGUAGCAAUACGGUGAGUAAAGUGGCGCACGGGUCAGUAACACGUGGAUAAUCUACCUUCGGGCGAGGGACAACCGGUCGAAAGACUGGCUAAUACCUCGUAAGACCACAGGGCCUUCGGGCCUCGGGGUAAAAGGUGGCCUCUAUUUAUAAGCUAUCGCCUGAAGAUGAGUCCGCGCACCAUUAGCUUGUUGGCGGGGUAACGGCCCACCAAGGCUGAGAUGGUUAGCUGGUCUGAGAGGACGACCAGCGACACUGGAACUGGAACACGGUCCAGACUCCUACGGGAGGCAGCAGUGGGGAAUAUUGGACAAUGGGCGAAAGCCUGAUCCAGCAACGCUGCGUGAGUGAUGAAGGCCUUCGGGUUGUAAAGCUCUGUCAGAAGGAACGAAUAAGGACGCACUAACACUGCGUCCGAUGACGGUACUUUCAAAGGAAGCACCGGCUAACUCUGUGCCAGCCGCCGCCGUAAAAC
rnacentral:rRNA from 1 species